rnacentral:lncRNA from 1 species
ACUUUUUUAAGCCCUUGAAAGUGUCAUGGGCCCUUGGUGAAACAUCAUUGGUGCUUUUAAAAUGCUUUCUUUUUUAUUUAAAAUCUUAAAAAAACAUUUUUUUCUUUAAUUUCGGUUAUUUCAUACAUAUAUAAAAUAGAAUGUGAUUAUAGUUACCCCUCAUCUCUCCCACCCAGAUCUCCCAUUUUCCCUCCAACAUUCCUUUCCAAACAUCAUCUUUUUUACUUCUUUGUUUUUGAUGAACCCACUCAGGACAGUAAGUGGCAUCCAUAUGUGCAUGGGUGAGAGAUCAUGCAGUGGAAACCUACCAGUGGCCACACCUUCCUUAAGGCUGAUUCUCCCUCUCCAGUCUCAAUUUGAGGGCCUGGAGAUCACCUACCUCAUGGUGGGUGUGCUACUUUGUUUUUCCAGACAGACUUGAUUAAAAUCUGACCACUCUGAGUGGAUAUUUGGUCCAUCCAGUCACUCUCUUCCCCCUGUCUACGGUUGAUCCUUCUGGUUUGAGUGUGUUUUUGCUACUCACAUUAGUUGCUACAGAUAAGCACUCCAAGCACUCUACUGCUGCAGCAAAGCUUCGCCCUAAACCCCUCAGGCUUCUGCCUGCAGGUUCACCACAGAGCAUCUCCUUUUCUCCAUGAGUUCUCAUCCUUGAAUGACUAACGUCACGAGCCACGGCGACGCCACAGUUGCCUUUACACUGUAAAUUUGUACAAUAUGGAAAAGCUAGAAAUACUUAGGCAGAGAGCACUUAGAAUUUACUUAAUUCAUCAAAAAUGUUGGCCCACUUUUUCUGUAAUGCAGGUGGAAGACAAUCUACUAUUCAGGAAAAUCAAUUCUUGCUUGAGUUCAGUCACAGGCCCUGUGCCUGCCAUUGUCACUGACUUGCAGCUGGGUACUUCCUAAAGCCACUUAUAUGUGACUUUGAGAGAGAGAGCCAAGUAGAAUUCAUAAAUUUUACUAAUACUUAUCUUCUAAGAAAGUCCUGGUUGAGAACUGUCUAAAAUCAAGCCAGGUAAUAAAUUUUAACACCCAUUCUUCUUCUAAGCACCACUAAUAAACUGCAACUAAAUAUAUAUAUAUAUAUAUAUAUGGGAGGCCUAUCCAAGCAAAUAUUUCUGGAUGAAAAAUCAGCCCUGCCAUUUUCUGGCUUCGCAGUGCCCAUGUGGUACUGCUGGCAGUGUCCAGUUCUGGGUACUUGCUCUAGGUUCUGAAACCAGAAGGAUAAAGGUACCAUUCUUUCCAUUAAGCUGCAGUGUGGAGCGGGUUCAAGAGCACUCUCUUAGCAGCUGAAGGUGCUGUGACUAGAACAAGUCUGAGUGCUAAGUUAUCAAAAGGAGAUUCCGGGGUGGCGGGUGGUGGUUAACCAGUGACGUGUGCUUUGGAGGGGGAGGGGUUAACCAGUGACGUUUGCUUUGGAGGGGGAGGGGUUAACCAGUGACAUGUGCUUUGAAGGGGGAGGGGUUAACCAGUGACAUGUGCUUUGGAGGGGGAGGGGUUAACCAGUGACAUGUGCUUUGGAGGGGGAGGGGUUAACCAGUGAUGUGUGCUUUAGAGGGGGAGGGGUUAACCAGUGACGUGUGCUUUGGAGGGGGAGAGGUUAACCAGUGACGUGUGCUUUCUCUCUCCAGGUCUGAAUUUCAUUUACAUUGUAUGAGAGUGGAUAUUAGUCCAAGGAGAUUGCUGGGUUUGAAGAUGAGAAUGUAUAAAUUUUAUCUAGCAUAGAACUCAGGGUGUACUGAUUGCACCAGAUUUCAACACUGCCACAAUUCUCGUUUGUUUUCUGAAAGCAAAACAAAAAGAAUAAAGAACAAUGCUAUUAGCCUUUCAAGUGAUCUCUGCAUGAAAGAGAUAAGACUAUCUCUAAAUAUGCUAGAGGUUUAAUAGGAGAAUAUAUAUGAACUCGCUUAGAGAUGGAAACAGAGGCCCCUUUAACUCCAUAACACAAAAUAUGCCAAACAAGACAAACAAUAUGCUGCUGUUCAAUAUUAGUGGUCAAAUCUUUAUGUUUCCAUAUUCACAUGUAUGUGACAGAGGGAAUCCUCACAAAGAAAAAUAAAAAGCUUCCUAUUUGCAGGGUCAGUUUGUAUAAACAAGUGAGCUGGGGAAAGAUAUAGUUUCAUACAAAGAGACUGUCUCUAUGUUCUGCCUAUGAAUUACUGUCCUGGGUGUGGUAAGUAAUUCUUCCUCAUGAUAUCUAAAGAUAAUUCACUCCGUGUAUACUUGUAUAAUAAAUAUAUAUAAUUCAUUCCUCAUGUAUACUCCUCAUGCUAUCUAAAGAUAAUUCACUCCAUCAGCUUCCUAGCAGCUACUUCACCCUCAACAAUCCCUACACAGAGAACUUGCAAUUAACAGGUUGCAAUUGCCCCUACUGACCAACCACUGAUUCGCCAUGGUGUCCUGUUACUGUAAGGAUCGCUCUCCAUAGCUCUGAAUGUCGUUAACAGAGAUGGACUCUUUGCUUUGCCUUUUCUCGUCUGUGUUACCAGGAGCAUAGAUUGCUUCUUGUCAGUAAGAUGCUGACUUUAAUGGCUAAGUCAUAGGAACAUGGCUAGAAAGUCUUCCUCUGCAACAGGCAGAAGGAUGGUAGGACAGGAGGACACCAGACCUUUGUCUCAGCUACAGACCAAGACAGCUUUGCCUAAAUCAAAGCCCCUUUGGCCUUUGGCAUUCCUGUAGCUCGUGCUCUCUGACACGGGAAGAACUAGCGUCAAUGGGGUAAUUUAAUCCUUGAGAGCCUUUGAUGAAUGAAGAAAUCCAGGAGUUUGGUGCCAGUUCUCCAUUCCAUGUGCCUAGUUUCCUCUGGUGCAGAAGGCCAAGUGACGAUGGAUGGUUGGUCAGUCUCCACAUAUCCACUCCUGUCACUGCGGAGGGAUUUAUGGUCUGCUCGUCUCAGUUUUAAAGAGGGUGUGGAGCCUUUUGAUGCUCCAAGUCUAGAGAUUUUUAGCACUGUGUAUUUCCAGGACUACAGUUUGAAAACUCAUGGAGCAAACAGGGAGCAAAAAAUUUUACAGCAAGCUGCUAAUGUCCCCUCACUUGGAGACUACCUUUCUUACCUGCCUAUUCUAUGCAUAAAUAGCCACAGAAUCAUCUGUUUUGUGGCCUUCAUUGAGUUGUUACUGUCUAGUGGAUUUUUCUCUUUAAAAGAAGAUACAAGAAGUAGGCUCUGAGCAGGGGAAGGAAGGUAAUGAAGGGAGGGGAAAGGUUAUGAAAAUGAAAAGUCAUACACAUAUGUAUAAAACUAUUAAACAAUAAGAAAAGAAAAUGCCCAGAGAAGAUGUAGUUACACGGAAUGAAAGGGGUGCUUGUGUGUAAACUUUUCCUGAUGUGGAAGUUCAGAAAGUCCCCAUAAUGAAAAGGUCUGCUUUGUGGGUGGGCACUCUUCCACCCAGACAGGCAGGAAUGUGGUGAGGCAGCCAGGGAACACAUGGGCUUGUGGUCACCAAUACAGUCACCUAGUUAGAGAACCCCACCUGGGUUUGCUCAUCUUUUCUGAAUGAAGAUUGGGUACUCAACCUUUUUAGGCCUCCCCAGGAUUCCUUUUGUAUCCUUACGCUGUAUUUCUUUUAUUUUCAUUUUUUUUUUCUUUUCUACCAUCCUCAC